GACGAACGCGGGCGGCGUGCCUAAUACAUGCAAGUCGAGCGAAGUUUUUCUGGUGCUUGCACCGGAAAAACUUAGCGGCGAAGGGGUGAGUAACACGUAAAGAACCUGCCUCAUAGACUGGGACAACUAUUGGAAACGAUAGCUAAUACCGGAUAACAGCAUUAACUGCAUGGUUGAUGUUUAAAAGUUGGUUUUGCUAACACUAUGAGAUGGCUUUGCGGUGCAUUAGCUAGUUGGUGGGGUAAAGGCCUACCAAGGCGAGCGAUGCAUAGCCGACCUGAGAGGGCUGAUCGGCCACACUGGGAUUGAGACACGGCCCAGACUCCUACGGGAGGCAGCAGUAGGGAAUCUUCCGCAAUGGGCGAAAGCCUGACGGAGCAACGCGGCGUGAGUGAAGAAGGAUUUCGGUUCGUAAAGCUC
rnacentral:rRNA from 1 species